UUGGCAUAGCUCAGUUGGUAGACCAUAAGACUCUUAAUCUCAGGGUCAUGGGUUCAAGCCUCACAUCAGGUGAAAAG
rnacentral:tRNA from 1 species